rnacentral:rRNA from 1 species
UACGUAGGGUGCGAGCGUUGUCCGGAAUCACUGGGCGUAAAGCGCACGUAGGCGGAUGUGUCAGUCAGGGGUGAAAUCCCGGGGCUCAACCUCGGAACUGCCCUUUGAUACAGCACGUCUCGAGUCCGGAAGAGGUGGGUGGAAUUCCUAGUGUAGAGGUGAAAUUCGUAGAUAUUAGGAAGAACACCGGUGGCGAAGGCGGCCCACUGGUCCGGUACUGACGCUGAGGUGCGAAAGCGUGGGGAGCAAACAGG